GUCCACGGCCACACCACCCUGAACGCCCACGAUCGCGUCUGAUGUCGGAAGCUAAGCAGGGUCGGCCUAGGUUAGAAUGUGGAUGGGAGACCAAACAGCCGACGCGCGGGGCU
rnacentral:rRNA from 1 species